GUGGCUCUAAUCUCUCCAAUCCCUUCACACCCAUUUGAUUUUUCUCAUCUGAAUUUCAUAUUUUUUCUUGGCUGUUUCUUUUUUAUUUUUUUUGGAUAUCUGCCAUAUCUUUCUGGGUUUGGCCUUUCGUUCUUGAUUACCCAUGUCAGAAAAAAAUAUUUUCUCUUCACCACUGGCAUUGGAUAAUUCUUCUAAUCAUUUCUAAUUCUUUGAUUGAUAAUAUUGCAGGUUAUGACUAUAAGGCUGAGGGUUGAUCUUGAGUGUGACUGCUGUUACAAGAAGAUCAAGAAACUGCUCCGCAAAUUUCCUGAGAAAUACGAGACCAGGCUUUCUUUAAGGAGGAAAACACAGUGGUGAUCAAAAUAGUAUGCUGCAACCCUCAUGAGAUCAGAGACAAGCUUAUCCGCAAAAGCCGCAAAACCAUCAAGGGGAUUGAGAUGAUAGUACCGGAGAAGCCUAAGCCCCCACCGGAGAAGCCAAUGUUAGAUUAAUUUUUUGUAAUUAAUCUAUAAUUUGGGCCACACAUGUAAAUAAUUAAAAUGUGUGUG